CUGAGCUCUGAGGACUAGAACCUCAGUUUGCACUUGAACUAUGAGAUCAGUGACAGGAAUAACGAUUCUCCUGACCUUGGGUAUUAUGGGCGAUGCUAAGUCCACACAGCCAGAUGCAAUGGAGAGUACUGAAGGAAAACCCGUGCAGCUGCCCUGUAACCACUCUGAAAUCACUGGAAGUGAGUACAUAAUCUGGUAUCGACAGAUUCCCCACCAGGGUCCGGAGCAUGUGAUUGAAAGUGUAAGAGACAAUAAGACCAAUGGAAUGGCCACGCUGAUCAUCCCAACAGACAGAAAGUCCAGUACCUUGAUCCUGCCCCAGGUUACCCUGAGAGACGCUGCUGUGUACUACUGCAUCGUGAGAGACCCACAGUGCGAGGGAUGGGGCUGCACCUGUUCAAUAUCUCCCUGGGGGGGAAGGGAAGCUGCAGCAGCAUCUAAGGAGGCCAGUGCAUGAGACUGAGGAGAAGCUCAACAGAACAAGAAGAAAAGUA